UAGCAUAGUGGUUAAGUGCUUUUGGCUGCUAACAGAAAAGUUGGUGGUUCGAACCCACC
rnacentral:tRNA from 1 species